GAGACAGUUCGGUCCCUAUCCGUCGCGGGCGCAGGAAUUUGAGAGGAGCUGUCCUUAGUACGAGAGGACCGGGAUGGACGCACCGCUGGUGUACCAGUUGUCCCGCCAGGGGCACCGCUGGGUAGCUAUGUGCGGAAGGGAUAAGCGCUGAAAGCAUCUAAGCGUGAAGCCCCCCUCAAGAUGAGAUUUCCCAUCGCGUCAAGCGAGUAAGAUCCCUCGAAGAUGACGAGGUCGAUAGGUCCGAGGUGGAAGCGUGGCGACACGUGGAGCUGACGGAUACUAAUCGAUCGAGGGCUUAACCAC
rnacentral:rRNA from 1 species